rnacentral:sRNA from 1 species
UGACCACCCGAUAAGGGUUGAGGCCAUACGGACAGCCGGGUCAACUGCCGA